AGAAUCAACGCUGGCGGCGUGCCUAACACAUGCAAGUCGCACGAGAAAGGGGAGCAAUCCCUGAGUACAGUGGCGCACGGGUGAGUAACACGUGAAUAAUCUACCUCCGAGUGGGGAAUAACUGAGAGAAAUCUUAGCUAAUACCGCAUAAUACCCACGGGUCAAAGCAGUAAUGCGCUUGGAGAGGAGUUCGCGGCAGAUUAGUUAGUUGGCGGGGUAAUGGCCCACCAAGACGAUGAUCUGUAUCCGGCCUGAGAGGGCGCACGGACACACUGGAACUGAAACACGGUCCAGACUCCUACGGGAGGCAGCAGUGGGGAAUUUUGCGCAAUGGGGGAAACCCUGACGCAGCAACGCCGCGUGGAGGAUGAAGCCCCUUGGGGUGUAAACUCCUUUCGAUCGGGAAGAUAAUGACGGUACCGAUAUAAGAAGCCCGGCUAACUUCGUGCCAGCAGCCGC
rnacentral:rRNA from 1 species